rnacentral:rRNA from 1 species
CUCCAGACUCCUACGGGAGGCAGCAGUGGGGAAUAUUGCACAAUGGGGGAAACCCUGAUGCAGCGACGCCGCGUGAGUGAUGAAGUAUUUCGGUAUGUAAAGCUCUAUCAGCAGGGAAGAUAAUGACGGUACCUGACUAAGAAGCUCCGGCUAAAUACGUGCCAGCAGCCGCGGUAAUACGUAUGGAGCAAGCGUUAUCCGGAUUUACUGGGUGUAAAGGGAGCGCAGACGGCAGGGCAAGUCUGAUGUGAAAGUCCGGGGCUCAACCGCGGAACUGCAUUUGAAACUGUUUUUCUUGAGUACCGGAGAGGUCAUCGGAAUUCCUUGUGUAGCGGUGAAAUGCGUAGAUAUAAGGAAGAACACCAGUGGCGAAGGCGGAUGACUGGACGGCAACUGACGGUGAGGCGCGAAAGCGUGGGGAGCAAACAGGAUUAGAUACCCCUGUA